GUCUAUGCCCACACACCCUGAACGUGACCCAUCUCAUCUGAUCUCAGAAGCUAAGCAGGGUCGGGCCUGGUUAGUACUUGGAUGGGAGUCCAAGAACUUCCUGCUGGAUUAAGUG
rnacentral:rRNA from 1 species